rnacentral:rRNA from 1 species
GGUCGCGGNGAUUCGAUUGAGUUUGAUCCUGGCUCAAGAUGAACGCUGGCGGCGCGCUUAACACAUGCAAGUCGAACGGGGAUGCCAUUUUCGAGGUGAUUAGUUUACUAAGAGCCAAGAUGUUGGCAUCUUAGUGGCGGACGGGUGAGUAACGCGUGGGUAACCUGCCUUAUACAGGGGGAUAACACUUAGAAAUAGGUGCUAAUACCGCAUAAGCGCACGGGGCUGCAUGGCCCAGUGUGAAAAACUCCGGUGGUAUAAGAUGGACCCGCGUCUGAUUAGCUUGUUGGCGGGGUAACGGCCCACCAAGGCGACGAUCAGUAGCCGGCCUGAGAGGGUGGACGGCCACAUUGGGACUGAGACACGGCCCAAACUCCUACGGGAGGCAGCAGUGGGGAAUAUUGGACAAUGGGGGGAACCCUGAUCCAGCGACGCCGCGUGAGUGAAGAAGUAUUUCGGUAUGUAAAGCUCUAUCAGCAGGGAAGAAAGAAAUGACGGUACCUGACUAAGAAGCCCCGGCUAACUACGUGCCAGCAGCCGCGGUAAUACGUAGGGGGCAAGCGUUAUCCGGAUUUACUGGGUGUAAAGGGAGCGUAGACGGUUACGCAAGUCUG